CCACCGGGUCGGACGCUUGCGUACCGUCACGCCGUAAGGUAUCGGUAUGAGGAAAGUCCGGGCAUCACAGGGCGGGAUAACGGAUAACGUCCGCCGAGGGUGACCUCCGGGAAAGUGCAACAGAAAUAGACCGCCGCCCGUUUUCGGGCGGUAAGGAUGGAAAGGCGAGGUAAGAGCUCACCAGUUCGCACGGCAACGUGCGUCCGCUGUAAACCCUAUCCGAUGCAACGCCCCGUCGGCGAAGGCGAAUGCCUUACGUUUGCCCGACGGAAGCCGUGGGGCGGCAUGAGCCCGGGAGCAAUUCCGGGUCGAGACAGAUGAGCGUCGAUUACAGAACCCGGCUUACAGACCCGGUGGACAU
rnacentral:RNase_P_RNA from 1 species